UUCGCAGGCGGCAAUGCAAGUCAGAUGUAAAAGGCAAAGGCUCAACCUUUGUAAGCAUCUGAAACUGUAUAGCUUGAGAAGUGUAGAGGCAAGUGGAAUUUUUAGUGUAGCGGUGAAAUGCGUAGAUAUUAAAAAGAAUACCGGCGGCGAAGGCGACUUGCUGGGCACAAUCUGACGCUGAGGAACGAAAGCGUGGGGAGCGAACA
rnacentral:rRNA from 1 species